CUACUCUCUCUAAUAAAAAAAAAUAUAAACAAAAAAAGGAAAGAUGCAAGGCACCCUUGUAUCAUGUUUUUUUUCUCCGAGCUCUCGUCGGUCAUCUCUCUAUCGAGGGACGGUUCUGUCAGCCUUCAACGGCGAAUUGAAUUUACUCAAAAAGUUUCGGCGUUCCAUUUUUCGUUGGGCGUUUUAUCGACGCUUCUUCCGUCGCUUCUUCCGUUCACCCGCCGUUGCUCCGGCCUUGUACAUGCGAGUUUAAUAACAUCGGGAGUAUCGGGACGACCGGCGGGCUGGCGGACCGAAAAAGCGACGACCGAAGAGUGCAGGAGCCGAUAUAUAGUAUCAAUAUUUCGUACGAACGUCACGUGAUGUGUUCGAGUUUCAUAAAUAUUUCGGCGUGUCAUGCGCUUUUCAUAAUACUACACUUUUCUAAGCCACACCGCGCGAGAAUGCCCGUCUCGCAAUUGUUAUUAACCCAUUAAAGCGCGACUUCUUGAGAUUUUACAUGAAAUUGUCGACGAAAAUACAGUCGGUCCACAAAAAAAAAGAUUUGAAAAAUUUCAAAUGCUUGAAACACUUCCGAAUAGGCAAAAAGUAAUCCCAUAAAGAAUGAUUAAUCAUACUUAUAUUGAAAAAUCUCUGAAAAGCGUAGUUCACAACUCGUCUGAUUCAUGGUACAUUUUUUUAAAUGUCUUGAAUGUUUAAAGAAUGAAGCUAAAAGUAGCGUAGCGAAAAGAGCCGGGACAACUAAUGUUGCCCGGUGCGCUUUAAUGAGUUAUUGAUGCCCGAAGGUGUCAGGAUGCCAAUAUCGUUCGGGUACAUUGCUUUUUCAUGGGCAUCUUUUUAAAACAGUUAAACCCUCAUGAUCUUUUUUUGACGCUGUAGCGGUGUUAUGGAUUGUAUUGCGAUCGUAUCAAUAUAAAGCUCUUCUAUUAUGAAGAAAAAUUCGCUACGAUGAUAAAAAGAGCUCGACCUUUCACAAUCCCAUUUUUAGCCCUUUAUUCCUGCAAAGCCGAUUAUCGUUUGAAUAAUGAACUUUAUUACAUCAGAAAGAGAGAGAGCACGCAAUAAGAAAUUCAAGCUCGUUUGCAUCGUCCAUGCAGAUAUUUUACCAUUUCAAGCACAUAAACGAUAUUUUCCAGAAGGCACAAGGAAGAGACGCUUGUGUGUCUGGGGACAUAAAUAAUAAUUUAUCAGUACUGAUAAAUCAGAAAUUGGAUUACUUACAGAGAAAACGCAUUAAGCUGUUCCAAUAAAACGAUCACAUAUCAGAAAUUAAUUCCUUUUCCUUGUACAUUCUUGUACGUUUGUGAUAUUUUCAAAGAAUUAGAUGGUUUUUUUUUGCAUACCAAACGGACAUCACACAUCUUUCUUCAAGAGCUAUAAGUCAGUUUUGUCGUUUCGACGAGACCGAUACGACAGAAUAUCGCAUUGAAAUACCCUACACAAUUGAGAUACCUUAAUCAAAAUUUCAACCUGAUUGAGUCAAUUUUCAUAAAAGGACACGGUGACAUAUCCCGUCUGUUUGGGACGACUCGAGACGAACGUUUAACCGCUUAGCGAUUCGCAAUGAGGAAGAGAGCAUCGACAGUUCGUGCGGAAGGAAAAAAAACGACGUGGCGACGUUCUCCGCGCGAAAAUCGGUAUCGAUACAUUGGACCAUAAUCGUUGUCAACGACAUCGACGUUACUAAAGACCGAGUUAAGGGAGCUGAUGGAGCAACGGAGUCGACGGCAGCGACAACGCGAACAGAAAUGUUGCUUCUGCCGCUCGGCAAGACACUUCCUAAGCCGUAAGACAACACACAGAGGGAAAGAGAAAAAAAGGAAAAGAAGAGGAUUGAACAAAUAAAUAACGUGAAUAACCUACAUACAGAUAACGUUUAACAGAGGAACAGUGAGGAUAACAAUAAUGAUGUUAUUACUACUAUUACUAUUAUUAUUAUUACUACUAUUGCUACUAAUUAUCAUUACUAUUAUGAACUACUGUGCAUCACACCGACUAUACAUAUAGUAGUUACGAGCGAUUAGGCGAAUGCGAGCAAGCGGAGUUGUCGAUUAUUAUGUAACCGCUUUAAGUAGCCUUAUAAAUUGUAAUUAACGCGCGGAUAAUCUGCCGUCUAUACACCGAGUGACGCGGACACGACGGCUUAUCGUAUCCCGAUUUUCAUAUUGGGCGAAAGUCCGUUUUAUUUAAUUAAUCCACUGUCAGAGACUUGUGAUUUUUGACCGAGCAUCGAAUCGUUCCGUUCUUCUCGAUUUGUAUCCCCCCUCCCCCCAUUGAAAUUGACGAUAUUCAAAGUUUCUUUUACGAGAAUCAGUCCUUCCGUCUCGGCAACGAAGAAGGGAACCUCAUUCUGUUCCUCUUGUGUCACUCGGUACAUACAUCAACAUAAUGGAUCACGAGCAGGGAGGAAGGGUUUAGCGAUCGCAUCCCGGCAACGCGAACAUCCAAAAGACGUCAUAUAUUAAGGAUUAACGGACAGAGACGGGCGCAGAAUGUGUAAAAUACAAUCCGCGUAACGAGGCGAGUAGCGAGUAACGAAUAGUCAUUGUUCGUCGCGCAAACGAAUAUUAAAUAUUUUUAUUCGCAUAUAUAUAACGAAUAAUGAGUAAUCCGUUUCGCUAUUCGGAAUAACGGGACUAUGUCUCUCAGUUCUCAUCCCUCAAGAUGUCUUUUGGACAUUCGCGUUACAAACGGGGACGAACUAUCUGUUCUCGCAAUUUAGGGGCAGACGAUUUAUCUUUAAAGUUAGAUCACACAAGAGUCUCUAGGAUAACCGUUAAAGCUAAUCUAUUUCUCGUCUCGAACGUCGGCCGAUCUAAACGUCGAUUGUUAUUGUUGGAGGUGUAGCAGUACCGGAGGUAGCCGUCGGCGGCUGCGGUUCGAGAUUAAUCGUUGACGGAGCGCCGGCCCGCAUCGACUUAGUUUAAUUAGCGUAGGGAUCGAUAAUCGCCCUUCUCAACGACGAUUAAUGCUCCGAUCGCGAAAUUGCGCGAACCACGUGCGAUUAGACGUCUCGGCGGGGAGGAUUACGCCAGAUUACGCGUCGCUGGAUUACAUCGGGUGACUUUAAGUCGUUCUCAAAUUCAACUCAUUAGCCGCGCUGAUCGAGAAUCUAUUUAACGCCGAUACAUCUUGCUUAAGCCUCGUCUAUAUAUUUUUAUAAAGGUAGCACCAGGAUCGAUCACCAUCACCCGCGCUGACCGUCUCUCAACUCAAUUAUUCCCGCGAUAUUAUAUUCUUACAGCUACGAAUUAAAUUUUCACUAGGGCUUCAUUCGAAAAUACUUUGCAACGAGCGAUACAUUAUUCCAUUGUAUCUGCAUUCAAGUUUAAUUUCUACACAGAAACGUGAUUCUUUAAUUACCGUUUAUAAAUUAAUCGGAGUCCCGAGGCGAGAACCCGUCUCACAGGAAAGACAUCUUGACAAGUGCCAGUAAUUAUACCGAGUUAUUCGAAAUUGGCUGGUAAUUGCCAGAUUAUCUUCCGAAAUGAGCUCUCGUAUUUCGAACGUUUCGAGUCUCGUUCCCCGCCAAAAAUGUUGUAGAGAUAGAAAAACGUAUCAUUGAAAAAAAGCCACACAGACGCGCGCUGUCGAAAAACACAGAAUCUCUUGGACGUUCACACUGUAACGAUUCAUAGAUGAUUUCUUAGCGUUUAAGAUUUUACUAUAUCGCGAAGGGAACGCUCGAUAAUAACUCUUCAAUCGUUGCGAGUUCCAUCAGCUUCUGUCGGCAACAAGAUCGUGAGAAAAUAUCGCUGUCGGAUCACUCGGCUUUUCAUGA